rnacentral:rRNA from 1 species
CUACGGGGUGCAGCAGUGGGGAAUAUUGCACAAUGGGCGCAAGCCUGAUGCAGCAACGCCGCGUGAGGGAUGAAGGCCUUCGGGCUGUAAACCUCUUUUAGCAGGGAAGAAGCGAAAGUGACGGUACCUGCAGAAAAAGCACCGGCUAACUACGUGCCAGCAGCCGCGGUAAUACGUAGGGUGCAAGCGUUGUCCGGAAUUAUUGGGCGUAAAGAGCUCGUAGGCGGUUUGUCACGUCUGCUGUGAAAAUCCAAGGCUCAACCUUGGACUUGCAGUGGGUACGGGCAGGCUAGAGUGCGGUAGGGGGGAUGGGAAUUCCUGGUGUAGCGGUGGAAUGCGCAGAUAUCAGGAGGAACACCAAUGGCGAAGGCACAUCUCUGGGCCGUAACUGACGCUGAGGAGCGAAAGCGUGGGGAGCGAACAGGAUUAGAUACCCCAGUAGUC